rnacentral:tRNA from 1 species
GGGGUUUUAGCUCAAUGGAUAGAGCAAGAGGUUUCUACCCUCUAGGUUACAGGUUCGAGUCCUGUAGGCCCCA